AUUGAACGCUGGCGGCAGGCCUAACACAUGCAAGUCGAGCGGAAACGAUCCUAGCUUGCUAGGAGGCGUCGAGCGGCGGACGGGUGAGUAACGCGUGAGAAUCUACCCAUGAGUGGGGGACAACCCGGGGAAACUCGGGCUAAUACCGCAUACGCCCUACGGGGUAAAGCAGGGGACCUUCGGGCCUUGCGCUGAUGGAUGAGCUCGCGUCGGAUUAGCUUGUUGGUGAGGUAAAGGCUCACCAAGGCGACGAUCCGUAGCUGGUCUGAGAGGAUGAUCAGCCACACCGGGACUGAGACACGGCCCGGACUCCUACGGGAGGCAGCAGUGGGGAAUCUUGGACAAUGGGGGCAACCCUGAUCCAGCCAUGCCGCGUGUGUGAAGAAGGCCUUCGGGUUGUAAAGCACUUUCAGCAGGGAGGAAGGCUUACCCCUAAUACGGGUGAGUACUUGACGUUACCUGCAAAAGAAGCACCGGCUAAUUUCGUG
rnacentral:rRNA from 1 species